CAAAGUGCAAGCUGGUCUCCAUAUUGGAAGAGAAGGUUCGAGGUCUGGAGAAACAAGUAUCGACUCUGCGUUGCAUAAGGGAAAAUGAAGAUUUCUUGGACAGACGUCAGGAGAUUAUUCUAUGUCCACAACGUUCUGAAAAUUCAGAGCAGUCGCAGCAGGGACAGAAGGAUGGUGAAGAAGCUUGGCAGCAUGUGACCUCCAGAAGGAGAAAGAGAAGCGUCCAUGUACCAGCAAUGGAGAUACAGAACACAAAGUACACAGACACUACUCAAUCUGAAGUCUGAAGCUGCAUCUGCAGAUAGCUACCGACGCCCAGCGUACACUGGUGACUUCAUCGGGGGCCUCUGCGGAGACGCGGUUUGAUCGACCCCGGAGGGCACAACGGUGCAACGCGCUCGGAUAGUGGAGAAGCAGUUGCGGGCGAUGGUGAGAAACCAGUCCCUUGGAUAAGGUACACCAAAGAUUCACAGCCUCUUCCGCUGGAUGCCCCGAUCCACUCCUUGCUGCCAGGCGAUUCCGUACUCGUUCGGACCUGAAAGGACGAGACUCUCCAAGAGCGGUGGAAGGGACCCCACACUGUCCUGUUGGUUUCCCAUACAGCAGCAAAGGUUGAAGGACACAAAAAACUGGAUCCAUCACUCCCGUCUGAAAGCAGUGCCCGCUCCUGAACAGUGGACUGUCGAGACUGCUGAAAAAACUUCAAGCGACGAUCUGGGACUUAAACUGUUAUUUAAGCGACAAUAAGGUUUGCUGGGAAUGUCUUGUGCUCCCUUUGGACAGUCGCAGCACACUCUCUGCGAGAACUCUGAGCAUUGGUUGUGUUUAUUUUCACAGGGCCGGCCUAACCUGGUGGCCUGGUCCCUUUUGUUUUAAUCUGCCCGCUAUUGGUAAUUGUUAUUUUGUGGGUAUUUGGGGAAUUGUAAUUCUUAGACCCCAUGGUCACCUGCCCAAAAUGGAAUCAGGUCCAGUGUCUGCCACUGUGUUACUCUUUGCCAUAAGGGCACUCCUCUCAUUGACUCCCGUUCCCCCCCAGGCACAUGCGGGAUGAAGAGGAAUCCCUAUCAACUUAGAAACAAAUACGUAUGAGGCCCUGAAGGUUUGCUUUGCCCAAGAGUUUAACCUCUCUAACGCUGGGUUUGUGCCCAGAUCCCACAUCACGCUGCUGGGUUGCCCUGGAGAGUUGUUCCCCCAAAUUGGUCAGACUUCUGUCAAAGGUGGAUGGUAACACUGCUCUACAGCCAAAAUGCUUCUGAAAUAAAUGUAGUCAAACUUUACUAAUUCUGGGUCACUGAGAAAGAAAAU